UCGAAACCUGCACAGCAGAACCACUCGCGAACUAGUUCAUAAAACCACGGGCACUAUCAAGUGUCAGUAUUACCUUGCAUUUGAUAGUGUCCAUCGGUACUCAGCAUUUUGCAAAGAGUGCUAAACAAACCCACGGCGUGAGAAGCGCCAAGUAAUACUUUAAUGAGGGUCUGACCCAAUCUCUCCCGCUCACGGGGUCAAGGGAUUUGGGAACGUCUUCUUUCUAAAUCACAACGACUCUCGGCAACGGAUAUCUUGGCUCUCGCAUAGAUGAAGAACGUAGCGAAAUGCGAUACUUGGUGUGAAUUGCAGAAUCCCGUGAACCAUCGAGUCUUUGAACGCAAGUUGCGCCCGAAGCCAUUAGGCUAAAGGCACGUCUGCCUGGGCGUCACGCAUCUCGUCACCACAUCCCUAAUUAUUGUGGAUCGGUGGAAUGUGACCUCCUGCUCCUAGUUAGUGCAGUUGGUUAAAACUUGAGUAUGUGGAUUAGGACUUCACGACAAGUGGUGGUUGGAUAACAACUCUCGUCAUGUCGUGUGCCAAACCUACGUGACUUUCAAGACCCUAAGGUGCAGGUUAACCUCAUAUUUUUGUUGGAAACUUGUUCUAUGACGCGACCCCAGGUCAGGCGGGACUACCCGCU
rnacentral:rRNA from 1 species